UCAAACUUGGUCAUUUAGAGGAAGUAAAAGUCGUAACAAGGUUUCCGUAGGUGAACCUGCGGAAGGAUCAUUACAGGGUUUUAAAUGCCAAGCUCUUCGGAGCGCGGCAUUAUAAUCACCAUAAUCCACCGUGUGCACUUAUUGGACUAUGAAAAUUUUUUCGUAGUCCCCAAUCUUUCUCAGUCUCAUCGUUUGUCUGAUAUUACUUUAAAUUGAUAAAUACAACUUUCAACAACGGAUCUCUUGGCUCUCGCAUCGAUGAAGAACGCAGC
rnacentral:misc_RNA from 1 species